GAUUGAGUAUAUGAAAGAUGCACGUGGUUCAUUUAUCGCAUGGCCAACUGAUAACUUGGUCAUGUAUUGACUAUCGUCCAACUGAGGGGAUGAAGCAACUUUGGUCCAGCUAGCUUAAUUUAGGUUAAGACUAGUCUUUAUGUAUUUUGGAUUCAGAAUGUUUAAUGUUUGGUAUGUUGGAUUUGGAAUUGUUUUUGGUAUGUUGGAUUCGGAAUUCUGUUUGGUAUGAUGCGGAAGUGUUUUAAGUAUGUUGGAAUGUUUUUGAGAUGUUAUAAAUGGUUUCAUUUUAAAUUUA